rnacentral:rRNA from 1 species
GUACGGGAGGCAGCAGUGAGGAAUAUUGCUCAAUGGGCGAAAGCCUGAAGCAGCGACGCCGCGUGAGGGAUGAAAUCCGUUAGGAUGUAAACCUCUUUUGCAGGGGAUGAAUGUGCCGGUUUCCGGCAUUGACCGUACCCUGUGAAUAAGCACCGGCCAACUACGUGCCAGCAGCCGCGGUAAUACGUAGGGUGCAAGCGUUGUCCGGAAUCACUGGGUGUAAAGGGUCCGCAGGCGGGCAAGCAAGUCGGUGGUGAAAUCUCGUAGCUCAACUACGAAACUGCCCUCGAUACUGCUUGUCUUGAGUUCGAGAGAGGAUGAUGGAAUUCAUGGUGUAGCGGUGAAAUGCGUAGAGAUCAUGAAGAACACCGGUAGCGAAGGCGGUCAUCUGGCUCGAUACUGACGCUCAGGGACGAAAGCGUGGGGAGCAAACAGGAUUAGAUACCCCGGUAGC